UGGGGUCGACCCUCGCGAGUCUCUUCCAUUUUUCAACAACUGUAAGUGAACCCCCGUCACUUCGCCCGGACUCCUACGGGAGCCGGGCUCCGUCCACGAUUUCUACAGCAAGGGAGACUUCGCCCGGACUCCUAUGGGAGCCGGGCUCCGUCCACAAUUUCUACAGCAAGGAAGACUUCGCCCGGACUCCUACGGGAGCCGGGCUCCGUCCGCGAUUUCUGCAGCAAGGAAGACUUCGCCCGGACUCCUACGGGAGCCGGGCUCCGUCCGCGAUUUCUGCAGC
rnacentral:lncRNA from 1 species